rnacentral:rRNA from 1 species
UACGUAGGGGGCAAGCGUUGUCCGGAUUUAUUGGGCGUAAAGAGCGUGUAGGCGGCCGCACAGGUCCGUUGUGAAAACUGGAGGCUCAACCUUCAGACGUCGAUGGAAACCGUGCGGCUAGAGUCCGGAAGAGGAGAGUGGAAUUCCUGGUGUAGCGGUGAAAUGACGCAGAUAUUGGGAGGAACACCGGUGGCGAAGGCGGCCCCCUGGACCGGUACUGACGCUGAGGCGCGAAAGCGUGGGUAGCAAACGGG